CUGUCGUCUACUUUCUGCGUCCGCUAAACACCUACCUUCAUUUAUUAACUCUGUAAUUUUAGAGACCGAAGGUGGAGGAGAACCUGUUUUUUGAAAGCCAAGUGAAGCGACGACCUACUGGCCUUUUGUAGACAUGUUUCUGCCUAUAUGAGCAUGUGGCUUUGCUUAAUUGCACAGCCACAUGGGGUUUUCUUCUGCUCUUCGCUCCAAUCUUCCGGCCAACACCUCCCCAAAGUUGUUCUCGCUGAGGUUCAGUGUGAAGCAGAACAGACCGAAUUUUAUAAAAAUUGCAAAGACAACAAUACCUUCAAGGUGGAUUGUCAAAUCAGCCUUAAAUGGCAGCAAGCCGAAGUUUAAUGACAAUGGGGCA
rnacentral:misc_RNA from 1 species